GUCGCCGCGAGGCGGGGUCUGAAGGAAGCCCAAUCCAAAGCUGCGGGGCGAUGAACAAAAACCGGAUAUCAGGCGUGAUGUACUCGGGACGAGCGGGCACGUGACGGCGAAGUCCUCCAUCUGCGCUUGGAGUGCAUUUUGUAGAUCCGGCGUCUAUGCAGCGAAGGCAACGAGU
rfam:Candidatus Accumulibacter phosphatis clade IIA str. TW-1, complete genome.